GACGAACGCUGGCGGCGUGCUUACACAUGCAAGUCGAACGGAAAGGCCCUGCUUUUGUGGGGUGCUCGAGUGGCGAACGGGUGAGUAACACGUGAGUAACCUGCCCUUGACUUUGGGAUAACUUCAGGAAACUGGGGCUAAUACCGGAUAGGAGCUCCUGCUGCAUGGUGGGGGUUGGAAAGUUUCGGCGGUUGGGGAUGGACUCGCGGCUUAUCAGCUUGUUGGUGGGGUAGUGGCUUACCAAGGCUUUGACGGGUAGCCGGCCUGAGAGGGUGACCGGCCACAUUGGGACUGAGAUACGGCCCAGACUCCUACGGGAGGCAGCAGUGGGGAAUAUUGCACAAUGGGCGGAAGCCUGAUGCAGCAACGCCGCGUGCGGGAUGACGGCCUUCGGGUUGUAAACCGCUUUCGCCUGUGACGAAGCGUGAGUGACGGUAAUGGGUAAAGAAGCACCGGCUAACUACGUGCCAGCAGCCGCGGUGAUACGUAGGGUGCGAGCGUUGUCCGGAUUUAUUGGGCGUAAAGGGCUCGUAGGUGGUUGAUCGCGUCGGAAGUGUAAUCUUGGGGCUUAACCCUGAGCGUGCUUUCGAUACGGGUUGACUUGAGGAAGGUAGGGGAGAAUGGAAUUCCUGGUGAAGCGGGGGAAUGCGCAAAUAUCAGGAGGAACACCAGUGGCGAAGGCGGUUCUCUGGGCCUUUCCUGACGCUGAGGAGCGAAAGCGUGGGGAGCGAACAGGCUUAGAUACCCUGGGAGUCCACGCUGUAAACGGUGGGUACUAGGUGUGGGGUCCAUUCCACGGGUUCCGUGCCGUAGCUAACGCUUUAAGUACCCCGCCUGGGGAGUACGGCCGCAAGGCUAAAACUCAAAGGAAUUGACGGGGCCCCGCACAAGCGGCGGAGCAUGCGGAUUAAUUCGAUGCAACGCGUAGAACCUUACCUGGGUUUGACAUGGAUCGGGAGUGCUCAGAGAUGGGUGUGCCUCUUUUGGGGUCGGUUCACAGGUGGUGCAUGGCUGUCGUCAGCUCGUGUCGUGAGAUGUUGGGUUAAGUCCCGCAACGAGCGCAACCCUUGUUCACUGUUGCCAGCACGUUAUGGUGGGGACUCAGUGGAGACCGCCGGGGUCAACUCGGAGGAAGGUGGGGAUGACGUCAAGUCAUCAUGCCCCUUAUGUCCAGGGCUUCACGCAUGCUACAAUGGCUGGUACAGAGAGUGGCGAGCCUGUGAGGGUGAGCGAAUCUCGGAAAGCCGGUCUCAGUUCGGAUUGGGGUCUGCAACUCGACCUCAUGAAGUCGGAGUCGUUAGUAAUCGCAGAUCAGCAACGCUGCGGUGAAUACGUUCCCGGGGCU
rnacentral:rRNA from 1 species